CCUACGGGAGGCAGCAGUGAGGAAUAUUGGUCAAUGGACGAGAGUCUGAACCAGCCAAGUAGCGUGAAGGAUGACUGCCCUAUGGGUUGUAAACUUCUUUUAUAUGGGAAUAAAACGUUCCACGUGUGGGAUUUUGUAUGUACCAUAUGAAUAAGGAUCGGCUAACUCCGUGCCAGCAGCCGCGGUAAUACGGAGGAUCCGAGCGUUAUCCGGAUUUAUUGGGUUUAAAGGGUGCGUAGGUGGAUUGUUAAGUCAGUUGUGAAAGUUUGCGGCUCAACCGUAAAAUUGCAGUUGAAACUGGCAGUCUUGAGUACAGUAGAGGUGGGCGGAAGUCGUGGUGUAGCGGUGAAAUGCUUAGAUAUCACGAAGAACUCCGAUUGCGAAGGCAGUUCACUGGACUGCAACUGACACUGAGGCUCGAAAGUGUGGGUAUCAAACAGGAUUAGAUACCCCUGUAGUC
rnacentral:rRNA from 1 species